CCUACGGGAGGCAGCAGUGGGGAAUAUUGGGCAAUGGGGGAAACCCUGACCCAGCAACGCCGCGUGAGGGAAGAAGGUCUUCGGAUUGUAAACCUUUGUCCUAUGGGACGAAGAAAGUGACGGUACCAUAGGAGGAAGCUCCGGCUAACUACGUGCCAGCAGCCGCGGUAAUACGUAGGGAGCGAGCGUUGUCCGGAAUUACUGGGCGUAAAGGGUGCGUAGGUGGUCAAGUAAGUCAGAUGUGAAAGACCGGGGCUUAACCCCGGGAUUGCAUUUGAAACUGUUUGACUUGAGUACAGGAGAGGGAAGUGGAAUUCCUAGUGUAGCGGUGAAAUGCGUAGAUAUUAGGAGGAACACCAGUGGCGAAGGCGACUUUCUGGACUGCAACUGACACUGAGGCACGAAAGCGUGGGGAGCAAACAGG
rnacentral:rRNA from 1 species